rnacentral:rRNA from 1 species
AUUGAACGCUGGCGGCAUGCCUUACACAUGCAAGUCGAACGGCAGCACGGGGGCAACCCUGGUGGCGAGUGGCGAACGGGUGAGUAACAUAUCGGAACAUACCCUAGAGUGGGGGAUAACGUAGCGAAAGUUACGCUAAUACCGCAUACGAUCUAAGGAUGAAAGUGGGGGAUCUUCGGACCUCAUGCUCAUGGAGUGGCCGAUAUCUGAUUAGCUAGUUGGUGAGGUAAAGGCUCACCAAGGCGACGAUCAGUAGCUGGUUUGAGAGAACGACCAGCCACACUGGAACUGAGACACGGUCCAGACUCCUACGGAGGCAGCAGUGGGGAAUUUUUGGGACAAUGGGGGCAACCCUGAUCCAGCAAUGCCGCGUGAGUGAAGAAGGCCU